ensembl:lncRNA
GAUGUUUUGUUUUAUAUUUAAAGAACAGCAAGAAAACAUUUAAGACCUUAUUUUUUGCAUAUUGAUUUCCUGGCUAGUUUGUCUCUCCUACUGCAUUCCUAAACAUUUCAUCCUAGGGUUAAUACAAAAGGAAGGAAAAGAAUGGCAGAGGGGCCUCACCAUAUUUUCUGUGAUUUUCAACACUAGAGAUUGUUUUGUUUUUCAUGUCAACUUUCCUGGAAGGCAAAACUUGAUAGUUGUUUGUGGACAAAAAUAAAACAAAAAUAAUUUUGAAUGUCAUGAAAGAGAAUAUAGACAAAUGUCUUUUUUGCUGACAGUAUGGCAAGUGUAAGUUGAAGAAAGGUCAACGAAAAAAUGGAAGGAAACAUACUAUUUGAAAGUUGUCAAACAGUCUCAAAGACAGCCAUGUGCAUGUGCUAAGUUGCUUCAGUCAUGUCUGACUUUGUGACCCUGUGGACAGGCUCCCCUGUCCAUGGGAUUCUCCAGGCAAGAAUACCUGAGUGGGUUGCUAUUUCCUCCUCCAAUUAUCUUCCCGACCCAAGGGUUAAACCGUGGACUCUUAUGUCUCCUGGAUUGGCAGGCAAGUUCUUUACCACUGAUGUCACCUGGGAAGCCUCCACAAAGAUGGCCAGGACAUUCAUUCAGGUUCCUGAGGUUACAUUUCACUGGGACCACAGGUCAUGAGAAAUGGAGUGUUUCCUGCCAUAUCAGUAAACCAGGAUGACAAAGUCAUCAGUUUCCAGCCCUCCAGGGUGCUCAGGAAGGAGGAAUAUACCCCUGGUCUGACAGCUAUCAGAUUGGAGCCACUCCCUAAGGUAGACAUGGAUACCCUGGAAGUACUUCUUCACAGUCAGAAUGGGGCCCAUCCUUCCCAUGUCAG